rnacentral:rRNA from 1 species
GCGUUGUUCGGAAUUACUGGGCGUAAAGGGCUCGUAGGCGGCCAACUAAGUCGGAUGUGAAAUCCCCAGGCUCAACCUGGGAACUGCAUCCGAUACUGGAUGGCUUGAAUUCGGGAGAGGGAUGCAGAAUUCCAGGUGUAGCGGUGAAAUGCGUAGAUAUCUGGAGGAAUACCGGUGGCGAAGGCGGCAUCCUGGACCGACAUUGACGCUGAGGAGCGAAAGCUAGGGGAGCAAACGGG